rnacentral:rRNA from 1 species
UACGUAGGGUGCAAGCGUUGUCCGGAAUUAUUGGGCGUAAAGGGCUCGUAGGCGGUCUGUCGCGUCAGGAGUGAAAACUCGGGGCUUAACCCCGAGCCUGCUUCUGAUACGGGCAGACUAGAGGUAUGCAGGGGAGAACGGAAUUCCUGGUGUAGCGGUGAAAUGCGCAGAUAUCAGGAGGAACACCGGUGGCGAAGGCGGUUCUCUGGGCAUUACCUGACGCUGAGGAGCGAAAGUGUGGGGAGCGAACAGG